GGACAAUCUAGACACGUGUGACAAUACUGAACAUGUCACAUGACACACCUUAAACAUCAUGUGAUCCACUCUCAGUCUGCACUUUCAUUCAUGACUUCAACAGGUUGAAAUGAGCUUUGAACAAACAUCAGUUCAGUGCUGAAAUAUUCAAACGCUGCAGGAAGAACAACAACAAAGUGAUGACAGAUGUUUGUGCUUCAAACUGGAAAACAGCAGAAAUAAAUCACAGCCUGCCAGAGGUUUGGAGUUUCCGAGGUGCACCUGAACGCAGCACACAGUGUCCAAUGCUCCUGAUUGUCCUCAAACGUCUCUUUGGGUGUUUCCUUCCAGCUCAAAGUUUACUUUCACUUCCUGAACGUCGUGCAGUGGAUCUUGUUGUUGGUGUGAAGAAACUUGCAGCUGUAGAACCUGCUGAGGAUCUCUACCCCAGACCAGCACCGUGAUAAAGUGAGCUGCUGCUGCUGAACUUGAACAGACUGACUGAAGAUGAUGAUGGAGGAAGAGGAGGA